AGCAUAAUCACUUGUCUCCUAAAUAGGGACUAGAAUGAAUGGCUAAAUGAGGACAGAACUGUCUCUUACACUUAACCAAUGAAACUGAUCUUUCAGUACAAAAGCUGAAAUAAACCCAUAAGACGAGAAGACCCUGUGGAGCUUUUAGAUCAACAUCACCAUUAUGUUUUACCUGAUCUUCAGUUGGGGCAACUUCGGAGUAUAAUAAACCCUCCGACAAAAUAAUCGUUAAUAAGAUUAAACAAAUCAAAUUUAAACUAACCUGACCCAGUAAUAAUUUAAUUAUCUGAUCAACGGACCAAGUUACCCCAGGGAUAACANCNCUAUCCCCUUUUAGAGUCCCNAUCGACAGG
rnacentral:rRNA from 1 species